ensembl:lncRNA
CGAUCGCACUUCAGGCCUUUAAUGUAAGUGAAACAAAAGAAAACUGAACAGGGAAUUCUGUUGAACAGGACGAUCACUGAUGCAGCACUUGGUAGACAAUUCCUCAUCAUUGAGCUGAAGGUAUCUGAUAAGGCAUAGAAAGGUCCAUCUCUUGUUCUUACAUGCUGUUCACAUAUGUCCCUGUUCACACCAUAUCAUAUGAAAAUAAUAUAAAUUUUGUAUGCUCAAAUAUAUACGCGACACAUAAAAUCAUGACAAAAGUACUCAGUACAAUACAUUUCAUUUGCAAUAUAUUCAGUCUUAUGGCAGUCAAUACAUAUAAAAUAUGGCAGUUUUCCAACUGGCUUAAUUUAAUUCCGCAGUAACAAAGCUGCUAAACCAGUUGACCCCGAUCCCCACCGAGUGGUUUGUUUCUGGCCAAACUGGUAGCGUUGGCCCAUCGGUCUGGUGGUUAAGUGCCUGAGUAGGAGGCAGAGAUGAGUGUUCAUAACACCAUCCCUGAAAUGUAGGGCUUUUUUUUGAAGGGCCCCUAUUUGUAAUGUUGAUUAGCCGUUACAAUCCUUCUAUUUGGUACAGUCCAAUGAGAAGGCUGGUUGGGGGAUCAGACUAACAUAGAGUUCUGCAUUAACAGAUAUUAAUGUGAAAAGCCCAUUCGAAUAUUUAAACAUAUUCAAUACUUUUUAUAUAUGCUUGUUCCGCUUCAGAAUAUUGUUUAUAACAGGUGUUAUACAAAUGUAGCCAUCCGUCACAUCUGUAGUUGUCAUUUGUCCCUUCGCCCCUAGGAGGCGCCAACAAGCAGUUUGAUUGCAGAUCCUUAGAUAUUUUCUUCUCCAUUAAAGUGAUUGGUCCUCGGCCAACAUAGCAAGAACACUUUAAAUUACAAUAAACAAUAGCGUGCUACUAUAAGUCAUUAAGAAAAUCAUAAAAUUCAUUGGUUUAAAAUGAUACUACCAAAAAUGUAGUAAAAAGGGACCUUUUUAUGAGUUUUGCUUCACUCAUUUGAACACAUUUCUCUCGAUCUUUGAAAUUGUUUCUCAAUGGACUCUGGAAUGAAUGCAUUAUAAGCAUUAUAAUUGCAAUUGUGAAGAUUGCACAUUUGACUUGUCGGUCUUGACAUGGCCUGCUGAAGUUAAGAUAAAGAAGAUAACCUGAAGGAGACAAGGAUUUUGCAUUGUGAUUUCUUUUCAGACCUCGAGUUGAAGUUCUCUGUGGUCUGUUGUCUGAGAAUGUUCCCUACCCGUCAUAUUUAAGGGAAGGGUUAAAAUAAUUCAGAGAUCCCCUGAAUGUGUAGUAGAAUUAGCACCUUGUCAUGCCCAUCAUGCUUUUGGGUGGGCACUGCCAUUAGUGAUGUCACUAGAGGGCAGGUUUU